UACGUAGGGGGCAAGCGUUGUCCGGAUUUAUUGGGCGUAAAGAGCGUGUAGGCGGCCAGACAGGUCCGUUGUGAAAACUCGAGGCUCAACCUCGAGACGUCGACGGAAACCGUCUGGCUAGAGUCCGGAAGAGGAGUGUGGAAUUCCUGGUGUAGCAGUGAAAUGCGUAGAUAUCAGGAGGAAUACCGGAUGGCGAAGGCAGGUCUCUGGGCUAUAACUGACGCUCAUGCACGAAAGCGGUGGGAGCGAAACAAGGAUUAUAA
rnacentral:rRNA from 1 species